rnacentral:siRNA from 1 species
GACGAUGGUAUCCGCAUCCGGUU